CAAUGAAUAUGGUUGGCUCAAUGACAACUGCUAUAUUGCUCAAGUAGCAUAGUGAUGUGGAGAUCGAGUGUGUUUCAACCAUGGAUGUAAGAGUAUCAUUAAGUGACAGCAAUACAAAUCACCAAGCAAGUACUUUCCACUUUUGUAUAUUUAUUUGUUGAGUAACUACUCUAGUCUCUAGAUUGUCUAGUGUUUAAGUUAUCAUAUGUGUGUUUGUAUAAUUUAGUUUGUAAUGUUUGUUACUAUAGAUAUUUGUAAUUGAAUUUGAGCUACUAAUUUAGUAAACAAUUAUUUAUUGAA